AAUGCAUAGGAAUUUGCCUUGAAGUGGGGGAUAGCCCGGAGAAAUCCGGAUUAAUACCGCAUAUGCUCUACGGAGCAAAGUGGGCCUCUGAUUUAAGCUCAUGCUUUGAGAUAAGCCUAUGUCGGAUUAGCUUGUUGGUAGGGUAAAAGCCUACCAAGGCGACGAUCCGUAGCUGGUUUGAGAGGAUGAUCAGCCACACUGGGACUGAGACACGGCCCAG
rnacentral:rRNA from 1 species